rnacentral:siRNA from 1 species
AUCAACAAGCGUCAGGUGUCC